AGAAUCAACGCUGGCGGCGUGCCUAACACAUGCAAGUCGCACGAGAAAGGGGCUUCGGCUCUGAGUAAAGUGGCGCACGGGUGAGUAACACGUGAAUUAUCUACCUCCGAGUGGGGAAUAACUGAGAGAAAUCUUAGCUAAUACCGCAUAACACUUACGGGUCAAAGCAGCAAUGCGCUUGGAGAGGAGUUCGCGGCCGAUUAGUUAGUUGGUGAGGUAACGGCCUACCAAGGCGACGACGGGUAGCCGGCCUGAGAGGGCGACCGGCCACACUGGGACUGAGACACGGCCCAGACUCCUACGGGAGGCAGCAGUGGGGAAUAUUGCGCAAUGGGCGAAAGCCUGACGCAGCGACGCCGCGUGGGGGAUGAAGGCCUUCGGGUUGUAACCCCUUUCAGCAGGGACGAAGCGAAAGUGACGGUACCUGCAGAAGAAGCGCCGGCUAACUACGUGCCAGCAGCCGC
rnacentral:rRNA from 1 species